rnacentral:misc_RNA from 1 species
UACAGAGGGUGCAAGCGUUGUUCGGAAUUACUGGGCGUAAAGGGCGCGUAGGCGGCUUUUUAAGUCUUACCGUGAAAUGCCGGGGCUCAACCCCGUGCACGUCGGGGGAUACUGGGAAGCUGGAGACAGGUAGAGGCGAGUGGAAUUCCGGGUGUAGCGGUGGAAUGCGUAGAGAUCCGGAAGAACACCAGAGGCGAAGGCGGCUCGCUGGACCUGUUCUGACGCUGAGGCGCGAAAGCGUGGGGAGCAAACAGG